AAAAAAGGUAAGCUACUAAGAGCGAAUGGUGGAUGCCUUGACUGGUAAAGGCGAUGAAGGACGUACUAGACUGCGAUAAGCUACGGGGAGCUGUCAAGAAGCUUUGAUCCGUAGAUUUCCGAAUGGGGCAACCCAAUGUAUAGAGAUAUACAUUACCUAUAUAGGAGCGAACGAGGGGAAUUGAAACAUCUUAGUACCCUCAGGAAAAGAAAUCAAUAGAGAUUGCGUCAGUAGCGGCGAGCGAAAGCGCAAGAGGGCAAACCCAGUGCUUGCACUGGGGGUUGUAGGACUGCAAUGUGCAAGAGGUGAGUUUAGCAGAACAUUCUGGAAAGUAUAGCCAUAGAGGGUGAUAGUCCCGUAUGCGAAAAACAAACCUUAGCUAGCAGUAUCCUGAGUAGGGCGGGACACGAGAAAUCCUGUCUGAAGCUGGGUCGACCACGAUCCAACCCUAAAUACUAAUACCAGAUCGAUAGUGCACAAGUACCGUGAGGGAAAGGUGAAAAGAACUGAGGUGAUCAGAGUGAAAUAGAACCUGAAACCAUUUGCUUACAAUCAUUCAGAGCCCUAUGUAGCAAUACAGGGUGAUGGACUGCCUUUUGCAUAAUGAGCCUGCGAGUUGUGGUGUCUGGCAAGGUUAAGCAAACGCGAAGCCGUAGCGAAAGCGAGUCUGAAUAGGGCGCUUAGUCAGAUGCUGCAGACCCGAAACGAAGUGAUCUAUCCAUGAGCAAGUUGAAGCUAGUGUAAGAACUAGUGGAGGACUGAACCCAUAGGCGUUGAAAAGCCCCGGGAUGACUUGUGGAUAGGGGUGAAAGGCCAAUCAAACUUCGUGAUAGCUGGUUCUCUCCGAAAUAUAUUUAGGUAUAGCGUUGUGUCGUAAUAUAAGGGGGUAGAGCACUGAAUGGGCUAGGGCAUACACCAAUGUACCAAACCCUAUCAAACUCCGAAUACCUUAUAUGUAAUCACAGCAGUCAGGCGGCGAGUGAUAAAAUCCGUCGUCAAGAGGGAAACAACCCAGACUACCAGCUAAGGUCCCUAAAUCUUACUUAAGUGGAAAACG
rnacentral:rRNA from 1 species